rnacentral:rRNA from 1 species
UACGGGGGGGGCAAGCGUUGUUCGGAAUUACUGGGCGUAAAGGGCGUGAAGGCGGCCAACUAAGUCAGACGUGAAAUCCCUAGGCUCAACCUAGGAACUGCGUCUGAUACUGGAUGGCUUGAAUUCGGGAGAGGGAUGCAGAAUUCCAGGUGUAGCGGUGAAAUGCGUAGAUAUCUGGAGGAACACCGGUGGCGAAGGCGGCAUCCUGGACCGGUAUUGACACUGAGGCGCGAAAGCCAGGGGAGCAAACGGG